CUGGCGGCGUGCCUAAUACAUGCAAGUAGAACGCUGAAGAGAGGAGCUUGCUCUUCUUGGAUGAGUUGCGAACGGGUGAGUAACGCGUAGGUAACCUGCCUUGUAGCGGGGGAUAACUAUUGGAAACGAUAGCUAAUACCGCAUAACAAUGGAUGACACAUGUCAUUUAUUUGAAAGGGGCAAUUGCUCCACUACAAGAUGGACCUGCGUUGUAUUAGCUAGUAGGUGAGGUAACGGCUCACCUAGGCGACGAUACAUAGCCGACCUGAGAGGGUGAUCGGCCACACUGGGACUGAGACACGGCCCAGACUCCUACGGGAGGCAGCAGUAGGGAAUCUUCGGCAAUGGGGGCAACCCUGACCGAGCAACGCCGCGUGAGUGAAGAAGGUUUUCGGAUCGUAAAGCUCUGUUGUAAGUCAAGAACGAGUGUGAGAGUGGAAAGUUCACACUGUGACGGUAGCUUACCAGAAAGGGACGGCUAACUACGUGCCAGCAGCCGCGGUAAUACGUAGGUCCCGAGCGUUGUCCGGAUUUAUUGGGCGUAAAGCGAGCGCAGGCGGUUUGAUAAGUCUGAAGUUAAAGGCUGUGGCUCAACCAUAGUUCGCUUUGGAAACUGUCAAACUUGAGUGCAGAAGGGGAGAGUGGAAUUCCAUGUGUAGCGGUGAAAUGCGUAGAUAUAUGGAGGAACACCGGUGGCGAAAGCGGCUCUCUGGUCUGUAACUGACGCUGAGGCUCGAAAGCGUGGGGAGCGAACAGGAUUAGAUACCCUGGUAGUCCACGCCGUAAACGAUGAGUGCUAGGUGUUGGAUCCUUUCCGGGAUUCAGUGCCGCAGCUAACGCAUUAAGCACUCCGCCUGGGGAGUACGACCGCAAGGUUGAAACUCAAAGGAAUUGACGGGGGCCCGCACAAGCGGUGGAGCAUGUGGUUUAAUUCGAAGCAACGCGAAGAACCUUACCAGGUCUUGACAUCCCGAUGCUAUUUCUAGAGAUAGAAAGUUACUUCGGUACAUCGGUGACAGGUGGUGCAUGGUUGUCGUCAGCUCGUGUCGUGAGAUGUUGGGUUAAGUCCCGCAACGAGCGCAACCCCUAUUGUUAGUUGCCAUCAUUCAGUUGGGCACUCUAGCGAGACUGCCGGUAAUAAACCGGAGGAAGGUGGGGAUGACGUCAAAUCAUCAUGCCCCUUAUGACCUGGGCUACACACGUGCUACAAUGGUUGGUACAACGAGUUGCGAGUCGGUGACGGCAAGCUAAUCUCUUAAAGCCAAUCUCAGUUCGGAUUGUAGGCUGCAACUCGCCUACAUGAAGUCGGAAUCGCUAGUAAUCGCGGAUCAGCACGCCGCGGUGAAUACGUUCCCGGGCCUUGUACACACCGCCCGUCACACCACGAGAGUUUGUAACACCCGAAGUCGGUGAGGUAACCUUUUGGAGCCAGCCGCCUAAGGUGGGAUAGA
rnacentral:rRNA from 1 species